GGAUACUACCCUGCAGAAAAUAUAUUUAAAAAAAAAAAAAACCUUUGAUUUUUAUACUGGCAGACUUUCUGCCAGUACUUAACCCUUUGAGUGCUAAGCACUUUCCGACCUGGGUGCUAAGCUGUUUUAAGUUUUUUUUUAUUUUUUGAAAUAUUUUUUUUUUCUCAGAUCCCCAAGACUUACACUGUUGGAAACGUUAGGUUAUUACCUUUCCAACGGUGGGUUCUUGUGGGUCUGUAGCUGCUUAGAUCCCUGAGAUACAGGCUUCUAAGCAGCAUGCGCCCUGCUCCUAUACGUAACAUUGUGAAUUUUAAAUAAAGUUGCGUGGUGACGUCAUCACGUCAUUGCGUGUGACGUCACCGCGCAUAACAUAAAGCCCCGGAGAUGCCUGUCACUAUGCAGGCCCGAUCGCUGGGGUAGGAGUGCGUGGGAGCCCCCAGAUCUCCCUCAAGGUGAGAGAGUGCUAGCGACGGCUCUGAGCCUCAUGAUUCAGUUAGAGAAUACAAUUUUAAACAACUUUACAAUUUAAUUAUAUUAUUUCAUUUGUUUCCUUCUCUUAUUAUCCUUUGCUGAGGAGCAGCAGAGAACCUAGGUUCUAGCUGUUGAUUGGUGGCUGCAUAUAUAUAUUGAUUGUGAUUGGCUCACCCAUGUGUUUAGUUAGAAACUAUAAGUGCACUGCUGCUCCUUCAACAAAUGACACCAAGACAAUGAAAGAGAUUAGAUAAUAGAAGUAAAUUAGAAAGUUGUUUAAAAUUGUAUUCUCUAUCUGAAUCAUGAAAGAAAAAUGUUGGGUUACGUGUCCCUUUAAGAUGGAGGCAACCUUUGGGGGGUGGGGGAGGGAAGAGAGCUGUUUGAGAGGGGUCAGGGAAGGAUCAGGGGGUGGGAUGUGUCAAGUGGGAGGCUGACCUCUAUACUAAAGCUAAAAUUAACCCUACAAGCUACCUAAUUAACACCUUCACUGCUGGUCUUAAUACAAGUGUGGUGCGCUGCGGCAUUUAGCGGCCUUCUAAUUACCAAAAAGCAAUGCCAAAGCCAUAUAUGUCUAUUUUCUGAACAAAGGGAAUCCCAGAGAAGCAUUUACAACCAUUUGUGCCAUGAUUGCACAAACUUGUUUGUAAAUAAUUUCAGUGAGAAACCUAAAAUUGUGAAAAAGUGAACGAUUUUUUUUAUUAGAUCGCAUUUGGCAGUGAAAUGGUGGCAUGAAAUAUACCAAAAUGGGCCUAGAUCAAUACUUUGGGUUGUCUACUAAAAAAAUAUAUAUAUAGUUUUGAUAGGUAAAUAUAAAAAAGGCUCUAUUUCUGUUUAACUGUAGUGAUGGCAAAAAUGCUCUGGGCUUUUGGGAAAGUUUUUGUCUGAAAUGCCCGGUCCUUAAGGGGUUAAAUAGCAAUUAAAUUUAAAUGUGUCAACCAAAACUCACUAUCUAUUGUUACAAAUGACAGUAGUGAAACUAGUACAUGUAUAAUAAACCUAUAUCAGCUGAGUGAUUGUGGAUAUAUUCUACAUGUGUAUAUAGUUUGUUAUAUGUAUUAUACUGUAAAAUACUAUAUUAUGUAUUUAAAGUAAGUUCAUUAUAUUACAAGAUUCUGUCUACAGCAUGUUAAUAUCCCAUAGAAUACAGAAGCUAUAGUUUGUUUGUUUUUUUGGUUUACAAAAGUGUGUUUUUUUUAACUUUGCACUGUUUAAAACAUGUUUUUAAAAUAGAUGGCUUUUUAUUAUUGGAUUUGUACAGCCACUACAAAUUUUAUCGCUGUACUGUACAUGUUUAAUUAUAAUAUCAUGACUGCACUCACUGUACCAAAAGUGUUAUAUAUUAAUAACAUGUUUGUUAUAGUGUGGUCACAAUAUUAUAAGUAAUUCAGUUCAAUAUUGUGUAAACUUACUUUGACACUUCUAUUUUUCAAAAUCAUCAUUUCAGCAUUUUUAAAAAUAUACUCCUUUUGUGUUUUCUGUACACUUCAAUGCCUUUAUAUAAAUAAAUAUAAAAAGAAAAAUCCGAUGUGGGCACUGGCAAAUUGAUAACUUUAACUAUUUAUAAUAAAUUUAGGGAACAGAAAAAUAUAUUUGAUAAUAUUUUAAUAUUAUCUGUUGUCUCCUUAUAACAUUUAAUAAAAUAUGCAGCUACUCUUA